UAAUAUUAUUAUUUCCCGUAAUUCUGUUUUGAACGCUGUUACAAUGUAAAUGUAUUUGUUUUACAGAUAAACUUCCGAGCUAUGAAUCCUCAAUGCUACGUGAAUCGUCAUACUUGUCUCAUCAUAAUUUCGUUCCGUCGCAAUGUAAUAAAAUGCGGGAGUGUCGUAAGAGUUUCGCGCGAGUUCGAAACGACGAAUUCUAGCGAAUUGUAUAGACGAUCGGAUUUCCGAUGGAUGCAAACUCUGGGACACGAUGGUAUCUCCGUCAAAGGGUUCGGUCCGGAGGGGGGAAGAAUCGGCGAUUAUUUUAAAGCAUCGCGAAUGGGCCCCCUUUAGUUAUGAAAUCGUGUUAGAACAUAUGAUUCAUGUGUAAUGCAUGAUGUCACGUCAAGGUGGUCAUAUGAUUCGCGGCUACAAGUCGUCGCUGACUCAAGUUCCGCUGGCAUCGACACGAAGAUGCUGCUGGGUCACCCGAUAUUCCGAUGACCCCACGAUUGAUCCUACCUUGUUUUCUUCGUACUUACUCUCUGUUGCGAGAUAUCCGUGUCCCAAUUUGCCAAGUUCGAUCGUCCGAAACGCGAGCGGAAUUCGCGAAUAACGUCGCUGUUUAAACUAUUCGAUUCAAUUCGCCUGCGACGUCCGGGAAUACCGUUUAAGUAUCGCGCGAUUUUCGUGUGCGGGUGCGCUCGCGUGCAAUGCGAGCAUGAUCGCGAACGCGUGUGAGUGCUAUGAAGAAGCAGGAAGCUCAAGCGGCAUCGGGCGACGUCGGUGCAACAUUGUGCUUUGAUUUUUUGUACUCACCUUACCGAAAUUCGAGAGACCACCGAUUUGAGGCACUUGACCGGGUUCAUCCGCCGUGCUGCAGUCUGCCCUAACGAACCAACAGGGCCAGUUGCACCGAGUCGAGAUGCUGCGACGAGCAGGGCACAUACGCGGACCAGAACUGCAACAGCGAAGCGGAAGUACAACGUAUUACAAAACUGGAGAGCCUUUUAAACGACGCUUCGCACAAAGAGCCUUUCCUGCAUGGAGGAGAAUGCAGUUGUGCGCCAAACUUCGUUUCCCGCUCACCGUCUCUUUCUACUCCGAGUCGCGAUUUUCGACGGGACGGAGAUGGAGAUAUCGCGCCGUG